rnacentral:lncRNA from 1 species
UUCCAUGGGAUGCCAAUCGUAAAAAGGGAUCAAUUUUGUGCAAGAUAAGAAGUGAUUUUUGGUGUGAGAAACUUGAGAGAGGGGAUGUUAAAAGACAAUGACACCCUAACACAAUACUGCAAAGAUAAUGACACUAUAGCCCUUCCUAAGAAGCUAAAGGUCUCACCAGAAGUCCAAACACAUAGAGCAACGAUAUACGCGACAUCUCAUGUCG